rnacentral:rRNA from 1 species
GACGUAGGGGGCCAGCGUUGUUCGGAAUUACUGGGUGUAAAGGGUGCGUAGGCGGCGCGGAAAGUUGGGUGUGAAAUCCCUCGGCUCAACCGAGGAACUGCGCCCAAAACUACCGUGCUCGAGGGAGAUAGAGGUGAGCGGAACUUAGGGUGGAGCGGUGAAAUGCGUUGAUAUCCUAAGGAACACCGGUGGCGAAAGCGGCUCACUGGAUCUCUUCUGACGCUGAGGCACGAAAGCUAGGGUAGCGAACGGG